rnacentral:rRNA from 1 species
AGUAACGCGUGAGCAACCUGCCUAUGACAGUGGGAUAGCCUCGGGAAACCGGGAUUAAUACCGCAUAAAAUCGUAGAAACACAUGUUUUAGCGGUCAAAGAUUUAUCGGUCAUAGAUGGGCUCGCGUCUGAUUAGCUAGUUGGUGAGAUAACAGCCCACCAAGGCGACGAUCAGUAGCCGGUCUGAGAGGAUGAACGGCCACAUUUGGAACUGAGACACGGUCCAA